CACAGCAAUUUGGCGCGGACCGUCCUUUAAAAAACUGAAACAGGAAUAUAUUGCCCUUGUGUAUGUAAAUUCAAAACAAGGUAGCUAAAGUCGUCAUUUCAUUUUUCUCGUCGAGGAGUUAAGGGGAUCACUGAUAGGAAAAUUUGGUUUGUCGCGAUGAACUUCAAGUUCCUUUGUGUUCUUUGCCUUAUCUUUGUACUUGUGGUACCCGACGCUGAUGGAUUUCUUUGGGGUCGACGCCGACGUCGACGCCGUCGUCGUGUGCCGGUCGGCUUGUGCAGACGGUACGGCUGCUGGACGCACUGUGGUGUGCGCUGCCGGUACAUUCGUGGAAAAUUCAGGUGCUCAAGGUAUUGUGGAAGAAAAUGUGGCUGGCGCCUUCUCCCGUGUAGGAAAGGUGACGAGCCCGAGCAAGACGAGCCGGCCUAUGAAGAUCCAGUAGAGGAUGACCCUCAGCUUCCCGAAGAUCCGCAAGCACUCUACCAAAACAACUAGAUAACACAGAAGAAAAUCCUUAAGAGGAGCUUGAAACGGAUAGUUAAGGAAUAAUAAUAAUAAUAAUAA